AAAAAUAGCUAAAACGACGUCGUAAACUAGCCAUGAUUAUUGCUGCUGAAGCUAUUGUUGGUGGAUCCAUGUGGGCUUCGAUGACCAGCUGCUUAACACCAACUGUUCUCUUCUGCAUCUUGAACCUCACCAUAGUUACCAUUUUCAUCACUUCAUCCCUCGAAAAACCGCACGAACUCGGUGUUGACGAAGACGACUCGCAGCCGAAACUCAUCCGAGUCAAGUCAAUCAACUUCUCUACGUACAGCUCCGAACAGCCCGACCCGUUUGACUCCGCAGCCAGUGACGCCACCCUCCCACCUCAAGAAUCAACCCAUCUGCAAAAAUCUGAAUGUGUGGAAGAGAGUCACGUGAAUAGGAGUAGGUCCGACACUAGCGUGAAUGUUCCGGAGAGAAGGGUGUUGAAGAAGUCCGCGAGUGAGAAGGUGUUUGCGGCUGAGCGGCAGGAAGAGGAGGAUCGACUGCGGCCGGCAACGGUGAGGGAAACUACGUCGUGUAAUGGGACGGAGGAUGAGGAAGUGGAUGCUAAAGCUGAUGAUUUUAUUAACAGGUUUAGGCAACAUUUGAAAUUACAGAGGAUGGAGUCAAAUUUGAGGUACCAGGAGAUGACGAAUCGCCUUCGGAAUUGAAGCAUAUUUUUGUCACUGCUAAUCUCAAUAGCUAUAAUUUCCAAUUGCUUGAUAUCAAAAUGAAUUCAUUUUUGUUUAGUAAGUACUUGUUUGUACCCCGUUAUUUGUGAGUAAUGUAUUAUAGAAUAAUGAUUGAUAUUAAAUGAGUGGUUAAAAAAAAAAGUUUUUGAUUUAUGUAUAAUAUUAUUUUAAUGAAGAAUAUGUGGUUAAAAAUGAAUACUGUAAAAAAGAUAAUGCCGUAGAAUGUGGAAGAGAGGAAGACAAACAAGCCUAAAUUAAAAUUUGGGAAAAUUGCAGUUGGGCUCCCUAAUAUUUUCAAAAAGUUCUAACCUUUCAUUUUCUGCAGUACAGUCCUUCAUUUGGAAAAAUAAGCAUUUGAAGGAACUUUUGAUGGCUUGCGUCCAAAAAUUCUUUAAUUCAAAUUUGACUGAAAUUAGACCAUUUUUAAGAAGGGUAAAAAUCAAAAUUCCACAUUUUCAUGACAAGAAUUAAAACAAAUUUAACAAAAAAAAAAAUCAAAAAAAUGAAAUAGAAAAACCAAAAUAGGAUAAAAUCGCCACCACUGUAAUGCAAUCACAACAUCAACUCCGCCACUCUCAGCAUAACCAAAACUCCUCCACGGAAGCCUCACCCAAACCGUAACAUUACCCUACUAUGCCUCCGUAACCACCAAAAACUGCAGUGAAAAAUGUUGAUAAUAAGUUGAUGAAGACUAGAAAUAAAAAAAAUCAACAAGAAAAUGAUUCGCUAAAAAUGGAAGGUUAGAACGCGAUUAUGAAUAGUUGUCAAAAUCGUGUUCCUCAAACGAUAUUUGUCAUCAUCGAAGUAAGUGCUUGAAUGCUUUCAAAUUCAAAUAGUUUAUAGGAGUAAUCAAAACAUUAAUUCAAAUUUUGAAUCAAGUAAACAAACAUGGAAAGAAAUUUUUAGAACAAAAAUAAAUAAAUAAUAAUAAUAAUGAUAACAAACUUGAUUUGAUCUUUGAUUUGGAUACAGGUGAUGCUAAUUUUAUGUUUUGAACAUUUAUUCAACAUGAAAAUCGCCCAAUAUAUAUAUAUAUAGUAUAUCAACCUCUAUACAUGAAAGGGGUGCAAAAAAACAAGCCAAAAGGUUGUGAAUCUUGCCAAACGUCACCAAUAUUUAAAAAGUAACAGUAACAAAAAAUUGCACUGGGCGAUCGCCCAGUACAAAACCAGGUUUACCAAAAAUUGUUCUAUUUGAAAAGCCAAGGCUGGGCGAUCGUCCAUGGUUGAUCUCUUUCAAAUCACUCUCAUAAUAUGAACAAUAUUCUACCAGAAAACCAUCAAGUUUGAUUGUAUGAAACCUAGGGACUGUAAACUCGAUUUCGCAAACAAAUCAUGAUCACUACUGCGGUUUAGGAGAUCUCCACCCUAGUUAGAGCGAAAACCAAGUAGGGGAGAUCAACUGUGAUUUUUGCAUAAACCAGCACUUGGUUUGCACAAAAAACAAGGAAAUUUAUUUUCUUGGGUUUCACAACCAAUCUUUCGUCGUAGUUUGUGUAGCGAAGGAAAAGAUGUUGUGGCACCGUGCAUCUUUGGUGGGGUGGGAUUGAGGGAUGGGUAGAGUACUGUGAUGGGCUAGGGUUUGUAUAGAUGGAAAUUUUCAUUUGUAAAUAAUGGAGGUAUCGAAUGGUGUCCCCUUUACAAUGUAUGACGAAUACCAUGUGAAUUUAAAAAGGUCGGCCUAUGGUCUUCACUUCUGUUGUGAGUAGUAGGUAAAAGAUUCGAUAAAAAAACGAUAUGUAUAGCAUUCUCCAUGAAUAGAUAGCAAGUUUUAAGUAUAUGAGUAGAGUCGCUCUACUCUCCCACCAUCGAGUUCGACUCGGUCCACUUGGCGAGCCAGCUUUUGCUCAUAAAUGGAGCAAGUAGAGCAAGAGCUAGGUUGUUUCCAAAAUCCGAUCAAUUCGUCCCACGAACUCGUCCUUUGUUAGUAAUGAAGUGGUAAGAAUUUAUUGUAUUUUUACCUCCUUUAGUGUAAAAUAAAUGGUAGUUUAAAAAAUUAUAUGUUGUCAAAAGAAUAUAUUUAAAAAAUUAUAAAUUAUAAAAAUCCUCCUCCUUUGUCCAAACUUGGGACCAACUACAUAUAAUACGUAAAUGGAAUUAAAAUUGUUCACGAAUUAAUAUUUUGUGUAGAAUUUAUUUUACAAAGUAAUGAAAUAAAUACAGCCCUUAUUUGAUUCUCAUUUUUCAAGUCAAACAAUCAAUUUUUUGAUCGUUACUUAAUAUCGUUAGCCAUCAUUUUUUACUUCUUCACUCACACGUUAGACCCACUUUUGUUUGUUAUAUCCACGAUUAAGUUGAAUAAAAAGAAGAAAUAUAGGGAAAAAGUUACAAUCAUGUUUACUUUUAUUGAGUUGCUGAAGAAUAUAUAUAUUCAUUAAUUCUGCGUGCCUAUUCUCUCCUUCAUUUUCACUUAUUUUGUCUAGGCACAUUUAUUAGAGUACAAAAGUAUUUCUAAUUAGAGGGACUUGAAAACAAAUGUUUAAAACAAUAUAUUGCAGUUUCGUCUUUUCAAUUAAUGGGUCCGAAAAGAUAGGCUAAACAAAUAAUCGAAGCAAUAUUAAAAAUAUCGCUAGCGAUUUAUCUAUCCUUUUUUACCGUUGGUAAAUUUCCCAUCCGAAGAACUGUCAAGACGAUGUUAAAAUACUAAGAGUUUGUUUCUUAUUUAGGGUGUGUUUGUGAAAGAAUGAUUUUUUUAAAAGUGAUUUUUUGAGAAUGUAUAAUUAACAAAUAGAGAAAAAAUUUAAAAUGUGUGUGUGUCUAUAUAUAUAUAUAUAUAUAUAUACACACACACACACACACUAGUCUAUUGCCCGUGCAAUGCACAGGCAGGAUUCUGUUGCACGUUAUAUUAGCGUUUUUAAUGUUAAUAUCAGUUUACUGUUUAAAGAAAAAGUGAGUUCAUUAGUUAAAAAUAGAAUCAUUGGAUGUAAGCUAUGAUAUUAAUUUUGAAAUUGAAUGAUUUAAUAUUGUAAUAUUUCACUGUUUUUGCAAUGGAAAGGAGAAAAAGGAAAGUAAGACGCGUACACCAAACUUUAAAUUUCAAGAGUAGUAAUUUAUUACUAUUUGGUGGAAUCUGAAGUCUUGUACAUAGACAAAGAUAUAGACAGAUCAUGUUACUUUUUUCAGAAAUACAAAAUAGAACAUUGAUUACUGUCCACUGUCACAAAAGUAUCAUAGAUGUGAUUCAUUCAUGUUUUUCUUUUGAGGUGAUCCCAAUGGUUCAGUUAUUGGUUUUGGAGAUUGUGUGAGUCCCUUUUUUGGGUUUUGACUCUGCUUCAAUAGGCACAUUUGAUGGUUGGAAGAGAGACCUUUAUGCAUGCAGUGGAUUGAUUUCUUCAGUAGCGGUGGAAAUGUCAUCGGGUCGUCUGGACACCUUGUUCUUGCCUUUUACGUCUUUGUUGUUGGAAAUUUUUUCUAUUUCAAUUUGCUUGUUUGCAUCUUCUGUAACAAUUGAGGAAUCAACUGGAUUUGCCGUGGAGGAGUUGAACACGAAUAUUAUUUCAAAACGGUACUCAGGUGGGUCGUGGCGCUUUCUGUUGCCUUGAGGUAAAAGAGUAGCUCUGUAUCACUUUCCAAUUUGACAACGUCAUUGAGUUUUUUAAUACCUUCCUGUGGUUGAGGAAAUAUAUUUCAAUAGAGUGGCAUGUUUGUUGUUAAGAAAGAAAGCAUUUUCGAAGGGUGUUGAACAUGAUGUUUUACCUUCUGAAGAUGGUUCAUUAAGUCAUUGGCGCUACUUUCCAGUAACACUUCUACUGCAUCUCCUAUGAUGAUUGCAUCUAACGAACUAGAUUUGUCUUCAAGUUGUAUAAAAGCAUUUACCCUAAAGAAUGCGUUUUUUUUUUUUUUUUUAGUCAUGUAUUAUGUACCUUGUUCCUGAAAUAAUAAUUAGUAAAUUUUUGAACUUAUAUUUAAUAGAAGAAAUCACCUUGGAAUAACUUUUGAGUGUUCGUACUUGCAGAAUCAACAUUUAUGAAUUUCUCUAAAGUUCGCGUUGGAAGUUUUCUUGCAGUUGUUACAAGACAUAUAAUUUGUUUUCAUUAGGAAUACAACGAGACAUAUAAUUUUCAAAAGUAUAAAUAUAAUAUUCUUCUGGAAUAUUGACAUUAUUUAUUCAUUCUACCUUUCGAGUUAAAUAAUAAAAUUUAUGCCCUACAUGAGUAAUAAUGAAAUAUUUUUCUUGAAUAUUUAUAUAACAUAUGUUACGUUUUUUCGAGAACAUUAACAUUAUAUUUAUUUAAAAUAAAUAUAAUUUAAAUUAUGUUUUUUCAGGAACAUUGAGUCAAUAUACUUUUAGAAUAUUAAACUUGUAAUAUCACGCUCUUUAUAAGCAAGUAAUAUUCUUUUAAAAUAUCAAUAAUAUUGUGCUACUUUAGGAGUAACAACAAACUAUUUAUAAUAGAUAGAUAUAAAAUUAAUAUUCUUCUGAAAUAUUAAUUAUAAUGUUCUGCUAUUUUUAUAAUAACAACAUGAUAAAUUCUUAAUUUGAAGUUCAUAGAAGAAUAUCUAAAAAUAUUUAAUUAUCAUUUAGACAUGAUAUGAAUUUAUCUAGAAAAAUUAAUUACCCAACAUGCAUUAGAAAAAAGAAUAUCUAUAUAUAGAAGUUAACAAAAUUGGCUAAAUCUUUUACCAACAUACAAAAGAUACUAAACAUACAUGUGAAUUUCACAUAUAUAGAAAUUAAAAAUAGAACUAAUAUGUGACAGAUUCAAAAGACAUAAUUAAUACUAAAUAAUAUGUGAAAAAUGAUCGUGUAUGAAUAAAAAUAACGUGAAUUAAUAUGUGUUUAGAUUACACAUACAAACGUGAUUUAGAAUUAAUAUUCCCAUGAAAAGUAGAGAAGAAGAAGCAAUCUCAUUAUGAUGCAAUAUGUAUAUUGAAAUAUUUCACAUACUACAAAAUUAAUUUUGGUAUACGUGAUAAAUAUUUAUGCCUAUAAAAAUUAUUACUUUCACUAAAUUCUGAAAAAUUAAGCUAUCGUAUUGAUAACGUAUUAUGAAAAGAUAGAAAAAAAAGAAGAAAAUAGAGAGAAGUCGAUAGACUUAUGUGUAUUUUAUUAUUAACAACCAAAACCUUGUAUUUAUAGAACAAAAUCAGGGAUACAAUAAUAAUAAUUUCUAUGGUUGUGGUGGUAUAAUUGUCAUUCAACUCUAAACCCUAAUAAACAUACCUUUUACAACACAUUAUUCUUUUGUUAUAUAAUACUUUCUCCAUUUUAUUUAUAUAAAUGGGUUUUAUUUUCCAAACGGAUUAAGAAAUCUUAUUUAAUGGUAUUGAAAAAGUAAUUUUUGUCUAUAUGUUUCCUAAUCUACCCUUAUUUAUACUUAUACAAUUUUAAGAUUAUGUGCAAAAAAAUAGUUAUAAUUAGACAAAUUAAGUAAAUGUAUAUCAGAAAAUGAACAAAAUAAAACAUUCUCAAUAAAGAAAUAUGACUAUAUAAUUGGGACAAAAAAAAUAAGGAAAUGCAGUUUGUAUAAAUGGGACUGGGAGAGUAGUUGAUAUAUUCUCUCCAUCUUCUAAAGUUAGGUUUACUUCUUUUUAAUUUUUUUAAAAUUUUUUUGGGUAUAUCCCAAAUUAUAGGCAACUUUCUUUGUUGAGAGUAUAAUUGAUUUCUUAACUUUCUAAUAUGCCUCCAUUUAAUGUGUCCUGUUAACAAUAAAUAUGAAUAACUCAUAUUUAAACUAUUAUUUAUUGUAGGAGUAUAUUAUAAAAAAAAUAUGCAAAAUUUAUUUUUCCUAGUUCCAACUAUAUGAAUUACAUUUUCUUAAUCAGUUUGAUAAUGGAAGGAAGCGUAUUUCUAUAGGACAGAAUGAGUAUAAAAUAUAUAAUACGUAAUACUCCCUUCGUCCAAUAAAGAAAUGCUCAUUUAUAUUUUAACUUGGAUUGAUAAAAUAAUUAUUACACUAGAAAACAUUAAUAUUACUUACUUUUAUUCUAAUAUUUCAUACAUUACAUCAUAAUUCAGAUAAAAUUAGUUCAUUUUUGUUGAUAACAAUGUACAUUAAAAUCUUGUUUGACCCACCUUUUAAAAAAAAUACAUUUUAAAUAGUGAUUUAACAUCAUUUCAAUCACACAAUUUUCAAUAAAAUAAUAUUAAACGUAAAUUCAAAAUAUUUUCUUAUUUUUUAACCGUACGUUUUCCAUCAGUACGCUGUUAAAAAAUACAUUCUUAUGAAAAUAAUGUGACUCAAACAAGGGUUAAACAUGAACAUAUUAUGAAAUUAAGAAAUUAUUUAUAUUCUCAACAAGAAAAAAUGAUAUAUAAUAUUAUAUUUAUAUGUUACGCAAUGCUAGCUCUCUAAUUAUUGUGAAUUGGGUCAAUUGUAUUUCAGUAUUUAAGUCUUCGCUUCCCACUAGGCUCGUGGAAAUUAUUUUAUUAAUAAUAGUAAAUGCUGGUUUAACAUGAUCACAUCACAUGAAUGCUGGUCCAAAUUUCAAGUGUGAACAUGUUGAUAUGUCAGUCUAAAUAUCAAGUAUGAACAUUGGUGGAAAGAGUACAAAUUUCUUACUUACUCUCCACCUGUUUGUCCCUUCCAGUUGAAAAUAUUCAACAGUUUGUGGCUCUUUUGGCUAAAGGAUUAGAUUGGAUUCAAAUUCAAUUUGACUCAAUUCAUGGAAACUAUAGAAAGUUUAGCUGUCAGCAACACAAAAAUCAAAAUCACAAUAAUCAAAUAAUAUAACUGAUGCAAUCAAUAAAUAAAGGGAAAAUUCUUUAAUCUUUUUUUUUUUUUUUUUUUGAAGACUUUACUUUAACAUUUACUUUUGUGCCAGCAGAGGUUCUUAAUUUUUCAUAAAUACGCACUUGAGACCCAUUUGGGUGCAAACCAUCCGAAACACCGUCAGUUGACAAGAAAAAAUUGUUUAAAGAGGUAUCAGCAUCCAAUAAAAUCGUCGCAGUAGCACAUAGUUCAAGGAAUUUUUUUUCGUCAACUGACUGUGUUUUGGACGAUUUCCAUUCAGAUGGAUUUCGGGUGCAUAUUUAUGAAAGUUAGGGACCUUAACUAGUACAAAAUGAAAAUUACGGUAAAAUCUGCAAAAAUGAAAAGACUAGGGAUCUUCUCAAAGAAUAAACUAUCCUCCAAAGUCUCUAAAGGAGAAAGGCGAAGUUAGGAAGCGAGUGAAGUAAUCCUAGGGUAAUAAAAAUCACUCUUCUUUCAGCUCUUGUGAAAUGGUCUCUGUGGUUCGCUUGCCCUUAUGACUAUGCUUUCUAUUCUAUGGUGAACGUCGACUCUUACUUUCGUGGGAACAAGAAUAGCUAUGAUUUCAGAAGUUAUGAACUCUUCUCUCAGGUGGUUACUACAAUUUUCUCGUAAAUAAAGGUUAUAAGUGAACCAUUGGUUUUUUAUAAUGAUAUUUAAACAAGAAGUUAAAUAUAAAAGUAGCUAUCAUAUAAAAGACACCUGUAUAAAUAUAAUUUGUUGCACAAAAUAAACGAUAAAUUACGUCUUCGGUCACUGAACUAUCAUAGAAAUCUCCAUUGGGAUAGUAAACUUUAAUUGUCUCAAAUGUGCACUCAGUUAAGCCUUGUUUGGCUCUCAUUAAAUUACAUUUUAUUUUUUUUCUCUUAUUUUCAACCAUACGAUCUUCAAUAAAAUAAUAUUACACGUAAAUCGAAAAUUUUUCUUUCUUUUUCAACCACUCAUUUUUUUUUAAAAAAAAAUACUAUUUCAUUCAUUUUCAUUUCAAAAAAUAUGGACCAAACGGGGCUAAAUUUCACUAUUCUAUCACUAUCUUCUCCCAAAUUACUAAAAUUAUUUAAUUGACAAAUUGCAUACGUAACAUAACAUAUCUUCUACGUAAUCGGGCAUGACAUAUCAAUUGGUUAUUAUGCUACGUCAUAAAAAAAAUGUAUAUUUUCUUUUAACAUUUUAUUCACAACAUUAUUAUAAUUUCCAUUUAGCAUGAGUACUCUUUAAAUUCUUAUAUAUGAAAAUAAAAAAAUAAUUAAAAUUAAAGUAAAACUAAGCAUGAGUAGUAAGCAAGUAGAUAAAGUGACAACUAAUAAGUCACCGAGUAUAGUUUUGUGACUAACAGAUCAAGUAAACCUGUAGUCACUACUCGGUCAUUCGUUUAAAAUUUAAUUCCCAUUUUAACCUCUACCAAUGCAUAUAUAACAGAAACACUUCAGAGGUUUCUUCAUCUUUCUUUCAAUAGCUCCCGUCUCUGUAAUAAUACAAGAAAAAUAGCUAAAACGACGUCGAAAACUAACCAUGAUUAAUGCUGCUGAAGCUAUUGUUGGUGGAUCCAUGUGGGCUUCGAUGACCAGCUGCUUAACACCAACUGUUCUCUUCUGCAUCUUGAACCUCACCAUAGUUACCAUUUUCAUCACUUCAUCCCUCGAAAAACCGCACGAACUCGGUGAUGACGAAGACGAAUCGCCGCCGAAACUCAUCCGAGUCAAGUCAAUCAACUUCUCUACGUACAGCUCCGAACAGCCCUACCCGUUUGACUCCGCAGCCAGUCACGCCACGGCUCCACCUCAAGAACCAACUCAUCUGCAAAAAUCUGAAUGUGUGGAAGAGAGUCACGUGAAUAGGAGUAGGUCCGACACUAGCGUGAAUGUUCCGGAGAGAAGGGUGUUGAAGAAGUCCGCGAGUGAGAAGGUGUUUGCGGCUGAGCGGCAGGAAGAGGAGGAUCGACUGCGGCCGGCAACGGUGAGGGAAACUACGUCGUGUAAUGGGACGGAGGAGGAGGAAGUGGAUGCUAAAGCUGAUGAUUUUAUUAACAGGUUUAGGCAACAGUUGAAAUUACAGAGGAUGGAGUCAAAUUUGAGGUACCAAGAGAUGACGAAUCGGCUUCGGAAUUGAAGCAUAUUUUUGUCACUGCUUAAUCUCAAUAGCUAUAAUUUUCAAUUGCUUGAUAUUGAAAUGAAUUCAUUUUUCUUUAGUAAGUGCUUGUUUGUGCCCCCAUUAUUUGUGAGUAAUAUAUUAUAGAAUAUUAAACUUGUAAUAUCAUGCUCUUUAUAAGCAAGUAAUAUUCUUUUGAAAUAUCAAUAAUAUUGUGCUACUUUAGGAGUAACAACGAACUAUUUAUAAUAGAUAGAUAUAUAAUUAAUAUUCUUAUGGAAUAUUAAUUAUAAUGUUGUGCUAUUUUUAUAAUAACAACAUGAUAAAUUCUUAAUUUGAAGUUCAUAGAAGAAUAUCUAAAAAUAUUUAAUUAUCAUUUAGACAUGAUAUGAAUUUAUCUAGAAAAAUUAAUUACCCAAAUGCAUUAGAAAAAAGAAUAUCUAUAUAUAGAAGUUAACAAAAUUGGCUAAAUCUUUUACCAGCAUACAAAAGAUACUAAACAUACAUAUGAAUUUCACAUAUAUAGAAAUUAAAGAUAGAACUAAUAUGUGACAGAUUCAAAAGAUAUAAUUAAUACUAAAUAAUAUGUGAAAAAUGAUCGUGUAUGAAUAAAAAUAACGUGAAUUAAUAUGUGUUUAGAUUACACAUACAAACGUGAUUUAGAAUUAAUAUUCCCAUGAAAAGUAGAGAAGAAGAAGCAAUCUCAUUAUGAUGCAAUAUGUAUAUUGAAAUAUUUCACAUACUACAAAAUUAAUUUUGGUACACGUGAUAAAUAUUUAUGCCUAUAAAAAUUAUUACUUUCACUAAAUUCUAAAAAAUUAAGCUAUCGUACUGAUAACGUAUUAUGAAAAGAUAGAAAAAAAAAAUAGAGAGAAGUCAAUAGACUUAUGUGUAUUUUAUUAUUAACAACCAAAACCCUGUAUUUAUAGGACAAAAUCAGGGAUACAAUAAUAAUAAUUUCUAUGGUUGUGGGGGUAUAAUUGUCAUUCAACUCUAAACCCUAAUAAGCUUACCUUUAACAACACAUUAUUCUUUUGUUAUAUAAUACUUUCUCCAUUUUAUUUAUAUAGACGGGUUUUAUUUUCCAAACGGAUUAAGAAAUCUUAUUUAUUAAUGGUAUUGAAAAAGUAAUUUUUGUCUAUAUGUUUCCUAAUCUACCCUUAUUUAUACUUAUACAAUUUUAAGAUUAUGUGCAAAAAAAUAGUUAUAAUUAGACAAAUUAAGUAAAUGUAUAUCAGAAAAUGAACAAAAUAAAACAUCCUCAAUAAAGAAAUAUGACUAUAUAAUUGGGACAAAAAAAAUAAGGAAAUGCAGUUUGUAUAAAUGGGACUAGGAGAGUAGUUGAUAUAUUCUCUCCGUCUUCUAAAGUUAGGUUUACUUCUUUUUAAUUUUUUUAAAAUUUUUUUGGGUAUAUCCCAAAUUAUAGGCAACUUUCUUUGUUGAGAGUAUAAUUGAUUUCUUAACUUUCUAAUAUGCCUCCAUUUAAUGUGUCCUGUUAACAAUAAAUAUGAAUAACUCAUAUUUAAACUAUUAUUUAUUGUAGGAGUAUAUUAUAAAAAAAAUAUGCAAAAUUUAUUUUUCCUAGUUCCAACUAUAUGAAUUACAUUUUCUUAAUCAGUUUGAUAAUGGAAGGAAGCGUAUUUCUAUAGGACAGAAUGAGUAUAAAAUAUAUAAUACGUAAUACUCCCUUCGUCCAAUAAAGAAAUGCUCAUUUAUAUUUUAACUUGGAUUGAUAAAAUAAUUAUUACACUAGAAAACAUUAAUAUUACUUACUUUUAUUCUAAUAUUUCAUACAUUACAUCAUAAUUCAGAUAAAAUUAGUUCAUUUUUGUUGAUAACAAUGUACAUUAAAAUCUUGUUUGACCCACCUUUUUAAAAAAAAAUACAUUUUAAAUAGUGAUUUAACAUCAUUUCAAUCACACAAUUUUCAAUAAAAUAAUAUUAAACGCAAAUUCAAAAUAUUUUCUUAUUUUUUAACCGUACGUUUUCCAUCAAUACGCUGUUAAAAAAUGCAUUCUUAUGAAAAUAAUGUGACUUAAACAAGGGUUAAAGAUGAACAUAUUAUGAAAUUAAGAAAUUAUUUAUAUUCUCAACAAGAAAAAAUGAUAUAUAAUAUUAUAUUUAUAUGUUAAGCAAUGGUAGCUCUCCAAUUAUUGUGAAUUGGGUCAAUUGUAUUUAAGUCUUCGUUUCCCACUAGGCGCGUGGAAAUUAUUUUAUUAAUAAUAGUAAAUGCUGGUUUACCAUGAUCACAUCACAUGAAUGCUGGUCCAAAUUUCAAGUGUGAACAUGUUGAUAUGUCAGUCUAAAUAUCGAGUAUGAACAUUGGUGGAAAGAGUACAAAUUUCUUACUUACUCUCCAUCUGUUUGUCCCUUCCAGUUGAAAAUAUCCAUCAGUUUGUGGCUCUUUUGGCUAAAGGAUUAGAUUGGAUUCAAAUUCAAUUUGACUCAAUUCAUGGAAACUAUAGAAAGUUUAGCUGUCAUCAACACAAAAAUCAAAAUCACAAUAAUCAAAUAAUAUAACUGAUGCAAUCAAUAAAUAAAGGGAAAAUUAGCAACAGUCUUUAAUCUUUUUUUCUUUUUUUUUUAAGACUUUACUUUAACCUUUACUUUUGUGUCAGCAGAUGUUCUUAAUUUUCAUAAAUAUGCACUUGAGACCCAUAUGGAUGCAAACCAUCCGAAAUACCGUCAGUUGACGAGAAAAAAUUGUCUAAAAAGGUAUUAGCAUCCAAUAAAAUCGUCGCGGUAGCAGAUAGCUCAAGGAGUUUUUUUUGUCAAUUGACGGUGUUUUGGAUGAUUUCCGUUCAGAUGGAUUUCAUGUGCAUAUUUAUGAAAGGUUAGAAUAAAGUCUGCAAAAAUGAAAAGACUAGGGAUCUUCUCAAAGAAUAAACUAUCCUUCAAAGUCUAUAAAGGAGAAAGGCGAAGUUAGGAAGCGAGUGAAGUAAUCCUAGGGUAAUAAAAAUCACUCUUCUUUCAGCUCUUGUGAAAUGGUCUCUGUGGUUCGCUUGCCCUUAUGACUAUGCUUUCUAUUCUAUGGCGUCGACUCUUACUUUCGUGGGAACAAGAAUAGCUAUGAUUUCAAAAGUUAUGAACUCUUCUCUCAGGUGGUUACUACAAUUUUCUCGUAAAUAAAGGUUAUAAGUGAACCAUUGGUUUUUUAUAAUGAUAUUUAAACAAGAAGUUAAAUAUAAAAGUAGCUAUCAUAUAAAAGACACCUGUAUAAAUAUAAUUUGUUGCACAAAAUAAACGAUAAAUUACGUCUUCGGUCACUGAACUAUCAUAGAAAUCUCCAUUGGGAUAGUAAACUUUAAUUGUCUCAAAUGUGCACUCAGUUAAGCCUUGUUUGGCUCUCAUUAAAUUACAUUUUAUUUUUUUUCUCUUAUUUUCAACCAUACGAUCUUCAAUAAAAUAAUAUUACACGUAAAUCGAAAAUUUUUCUUUCUUUUUCAACCACUCAUUUUUUUUAAAAAAAAAAUACUAUUUCAUUCAUUUUCAUUUCAAAAAAUAUGGACCAAACGGGGCUAAAUUUCACUAUUCUAUCACUAUCUUCUCCCAAAUUACUAAAAUUAUUUAAUUGACAAAUUGCAUACGUAACAUAACAUAUCUUCUACGUAAUCGGGCAUGACAUAUCAAUUGGUUAUUAUGCUACGUCAUAAAAAAAAUGUAUAUUUUCUUUUAACAUUUUAUUCACAACAUUAUUAUAAUUUCCAUUUAGCAUGAGUACUCUUUAAAUUCUUAUAUAUGAAAAUAAAAAAAUAAUUAAAAUUAAAGUAAAACUAAGCAUGAGUAGUAAGCAAGUAGAUAAAGUGACAACUAAUAAGUCACCGAGUAUAGUUUUGUGACUAACAGAUCAAGUAAACCUGUAGUCACUACUCGGUCAUUCGUUUAAAAUUUAAUUCCCAUUUUAACCUCUACCAAUGCAUAUAUAACAGAAACACUUCAGAGGUUUCUUCAUCUUUCUUUCAAUAGCUCCCGUCUCUGUAAUAAUACAAGAAAAAUAGCUAAAACGACGUCGAAAACUAACCAUGAUUAAUGCUGCUGAAGCUAUUGUUGGUGGAUCCAUGUGGGCUUCGAUGACCAGCUGCUUAACACCAACUGUUCUCUUCUGCAUCUUGAACCUCACCAUAGUUACCAUUUUCAUCACUUCAUCCCUCGAAAAACCGCACGAACUCGGUGAUGACGAAGACGAAUCGCCGCCGAAACUCAUCCGAGUCAAGUCAAUCAACUUCUCUACGUACAGCUCCGAACAGCCCUACCCGUUUGACUCCGCAGCCAGUCACGCCACGGCUCCACCUCAAGAACCAACUCAUCUGCAAAAAUCUGAAUGUGUGGAAGAGAGUCACGUGAAUAGGAGUAGGUCCGACACUAGCGUGAAUGUUCCGGAGAGAAGGGUGUUGAAGAAGUCCGCGAGUGAGAAGGUGUUUGCGGCUGAGCGGCAGGAAGAGGAGGAUCGACUGCGGCCGGCAACGGUGAGGGAAACUACGUCGUGUAAUGGGACGGAGGAGGAGGAAGUGGAUGCUAAAGCUGAUGAUUUUAUUAACAGGUUUAGGCAACAGUUGAAAUUACAGAGGAUGGAGUCAAAUUUGAGGUACCAAGAGAUGACGAAUCGGCUUCGGAAUUGAAGCAUAUUUUUGUCACUGCUUAAUCUCAAUAGCUAUAAUUUUCAAUUGCUUGAUAUUGAAAUGAAUUCAUUUUUCUUUAGUAAGUGCUUGUUUGUGCCCCCAUUAUUUGUGAGUAAUAUAUUAUAGAAUAUUAAACUUGUAAUAUCAUGCUCUUUAUAAGCAAGUAAUAUUCUUUUGAAAUAUCAAUAAUAUUGUGCUACUUUAGGAG
rnacentral:lncRNA from 1 species